GUUCGGCCUGGCCGCGCCUCUCGUCGGCCUCCGGGCCUUCGCCCUGGGGGCACAGCCCGCAACGCACCUCGGCCUUCCAUGCGCGCGCUGGGCUGCUCCCCGCUCCCCGCCUUCUUCCGGGCUCCGAGAGCAACGCAGGGAAGCUUCUAGGCGUCUGGGGAGCAACUGGGAUCUCAAGGUCUUGCUAACGUGUCCACUGCGGCUGCUCGCGGGAAAGCAACGGAAGUUGGAGAGACUUUGCAACAGCUGCAAGAGUUUCAGUCCGGGGCAGAGAGCGACCACCGGGGCGAGGCGAAGUCCCGCGGCCGGCGUGCGCCCGACCCACGGGACCCCAAGGCCUCGCUGCUCCCGGGGCGGGCCCCACCUGGCCAAGAGCGCGCGGACGUGGGCUGCAGCCGCCCGCCUCGGCUCACCUUUCGUCAGCGUGUCCAGCACCCCCGACUUCUCCAAGUACCUCCGGAACUGCUCGCGCUUCGAGUCGGCGGCCUGAGGAGACACGGCGGGUCAGGGACCGGAGCCCGGGGCCGGAGCAGGAAGACGGCGCGCCCCGCCGCCGGCCCCAAGCCCUGCACACGCCCCAACUCCCACCCGGCGCCGCCCGCACGCCCCGAGCCACGCCGCGCCCCCCUCACUUUGUAAUGGGCCAUAGUGACAGCCACAGCGGCGUAGCUGGCGCCGGAGACACGGGCAGGCGGGCUCCAAGCCUCACUGCUCAUGCGCGGAACGGCGCGCGCGUCUGCGCACUGGGCAGGCACGGGCCGGGGCCACCGGGGUGUGGCCUGUUUUCAUGGCGACCGGGACGCUGUGUAUCCCUGUCUCCUCGGAGCCUAGAGAGGCUGCGUGAGCCCGCCCUCCGCGGUUCCGGGCAGUCUCGCGUCUUCCUGUUCCGGUUGCCGCGGCGAUUCGGUUGCCUAGCAAGAGGCGAGGUUUAGGAGUUGGGGAAGAGUAUUCAUGCCGUGGUGCAGUUGGAGAUCGGAAGACUCAUAGGACUUGCUCUCCUUCCACCGCAUUCACUUAUUUUAGAUGGUGGGUCCCCUGGAAGGAGUGUAUCGCUGCUGCAAGCUUCUAAGAUGUUUCCAUCCCGGCCUGCUGUGGGCAGUCCCUGUUAUGAACUACAUAGCACAAUGUUGAGGUAAAUUUGAAGAAGAAGAGGAAGAGGAAGAGGAGGAGGAAGAGGAGGAGGAGGAAGAGGAAGAGGAGGAGAAGAGGAGGAGGAGGAGGAGGAGGAGGAGGAGGUGGUGGUGGUGGUGGUCUUGGUGUCAUACACAUUUAAUCCCCACAUUAGAAGGCAGGGGCAGACAGAUCUCUGUGAGUGAGAGGCCAGCCUGGCCUACAUAGCUCCAGAGAGUGUGACCCUGUCUCAAAAACAAACAAACAAACAAACAAACAAAAACGGUGAUCAACUAUGUCAAGAUGAACAAACUUCUUGGUGCAAAUAGAUGAAUACACAGAAAUUUUGUAAGCAGCCAUAUCCACUGCUUCAAACGUUUCGUAAAGGUAAAAUUGAGCACAUUAUUAGAAGAGCUUAGUAAGGGGGCACUUGGACUGACUGAGUAUAUCUCAUUACAGGACUAAUUAUAUUUAAUAAUUUAUUAACAAUUGUUCCUCCCAUCUCCUCAGCUCAUCUUUAGGCAUACUGGUUUUCCUGAGGAGUGGUCUAUGUGUAGCCCUGGCUGCCCUGGAACUUGCUGUAGAGACCAACCUAGCCUUGAACUCGAGAUGCACCUGCCUCUGCCUGCCUAGUGCCAGGGUUAAAGGUGUCAACCACCAUGCCCUGCUGUUUCCUGUCUCUUAAGCUCUCAUGUAUAAUAAACUCAGGACUUCAUGCCUUGAUAGCAAGCACUCUUUGCCCACUGAGCCAUCUGCCCAGGGCACAUUUCUCAGUGUAGCCUCUAAAGAAACACUUGUUGCUCUCCUUUUAACCAUCAAACUAUUACAAGGAAUUGGACUUUCCCCAGAAAUUUCCUCAGAGAGGUUUGAAGCCUGGAUCCAACAAGAAGAGAAACUUGUCUUGGGCAAAGGGAUUUCUCACCUCUUGUCUGACUAUCUUCCAAGAGACUGUGGCCAAGACAGUGAUGAAUCGGUCCGUAGCUUUCCCGGAACUGCUCAGAUAUGCAUGAUUCUGGCUCCUUACUUACACCUAAAUCUCAGGUCAGGACCUGGAAGGUCACUGCGUCUCUUUGUCCUACUUCCCAGCACAGCCAUAUUGAGUAACCUUUUUCUAGUUUUCACUCUCAAGUCUGUCUUUAAUUUGCUUCAGAGAUGUGUUACUAAGCUUGGUUUGUUGGGCCACUAGGGCCCAAGCACUAUCCUGAUAGCUCCAAAAAUAAGGUAUACAUCAAGAAUAAACAGAUGAGGGCUGGCGAGAUGGCUCAGUGAUGAAGAACCCUGGCUGCUCUUUUAGAGGACACAGGUUUGAUUCCUGUAGCCCAUGUGGUGACUCACAACCAUCUGUAACUGGUUCCCACAGACACUGCAAGCAUUUGGUACAUUAACAUACAUGUAAGCAAAGCACCAUUCACAUAAAGAUAGAAUGAAGAAACUUUAAAGCAAAACUCUCCCAAUGGCUACCUGGCAUUUUUAAUUGUCCUUUCCGGUACAAUCCACCCUCUUGGCCAUGACCUGUGAGCAGCUGCUCUCUCACACUGUAGGAGGAUGGAGCUGCCUGUGACAGUGCCACCCAUUCCUAUCCAAGUGCUUGUGGGCGAUAAUCUCGGGAUUUGUACCAGAGGAGUUUGCAAAGUACUCUACCAAUUCCCGAGCAGACAGGGAGCAUCUUCCACUUAGGACAACGCUGGACACUGCCUGCUGCAGCGCCCCGGCUUGGCUGCCUGCUGCAGCGACCCGGCGUGGCUGGUGUUGGCCUCCUCCACAGAUAGUAAUCACCAAGCUUCAACUGCCAGAGCGCUCAAGUCUGAGCCCUAAAGGCUUCAAAGUAGCUGCUCAGCCCAGACUCACUAGCCUGCACCUUUAGACUUCAGAUGCUAAUUUACACAACUGGGAAUUCUCCAUCUGCUCCGCCCAAUCCUGCGUGCCCUACCUGUCCCCAUCCUUCCUACGCCCCACCCCCAUCCCACGAGCUAGCGUUUCACCGUUGGCGCUCACUUAAGCUCCUUCACGGGUACAGCAGCGGUUACUGGGGGGCCCUCUCAGUUUCUGGACGGAAGAUAUGGGCCCGGGACUGACCGGACUGACCGAAAGGAGCAAGAAAAACUAGACCUGAUCAAAUUGUGAACCAAAGAAAAGGCAACAACAUAUCAAUAACCUUGUGUCUGAGGACUAACUGUAGCCAAAUUCUUUAGAAUAAAUCAAAAUGAUUGAUCUGAGGGUACAGAAGGGGCCUUAGUUGAGAGAGUUAAGGAAAUCCCUAUCGGGCAUUCUUUCUUUCCUAGGAAACGGCUCCUAAGAUGGCCACCAGUGACUCAAACGAAACUUGUAGGGUGGGGGGAGUUCCCUCUCAGUAGGACCUCUGGGGUCCUACAAGUUCAUCCUCCAGGGACUUGAGGCUGCAACAUUCACAGUGGUCUCUUCGAAAGGACAAACACAGAUGAACAUCUGAGGGUCCCAGUGCUGACCCCAAUGGCUGCAGAGGCAGGUUCUGAAUGGGCCAUUCCUCCCCUGAAAAGGAUCUCCUAGGACACCCACAAGAAAUUUGAGAUGCAGGUUUGAAAAGAAUAUCCUUUCCAUCCAAAGGAUCUUUGGUGCUGGAACCAACAAUUAGGAGCAGGGGCAGGCUCUGCAGCUACAGGAUACAGCAGUCAAAAAGACCAGCCUUUUGAAAGGACCUGUGGAAUGGGAUGUUCAAUGGCCAAAGCAUGGGAGCCACUGUUAGAAGACCUGGCAAAACCCUCUUUAAUGAUGUCCAGCGACACUGAGACUGACCAGUCAGAAGCUUGAGUGCUGAAGGAGCCGACAUACAAUAACUCUAAGGAGAAAGUGGAGUCUAGCGCUGCGGUGAAGCCUGCAACAUGGGACUUGGAAAAGUCUUGCACUCCAAGGGUCCCAUCAAACUGUGGAGCAAGAAGGCUUCCAACACGCAGUGGAAAUGGUUAGGAGAGGAUCCAGUUUUAAUAGAAAACAAGCAUGUUGUUUUCUUUUCAGGAGAAGGAAGGACAGUGACUCCCAAAAGGGUGUGGAUGGCACAGGCAGGUGGCUUCAGUCGUGAUCUAUCAGGCACUCUCACAGCCCUGACUCUAGAUGGUGUGGCUCUCCUUGUGCUCGGGACAGGACAGAUGGACACUGCUUCUCCCACACCCACUGUUUUAGUACUUUGACAUUAGAACAUUUGCCGAAUGGGUUCUCAACAUUGUCAAACACGAAUUUCACCAGGAGAUCCACACCAUUAUUUGCUUAAAACUGAAUAGCCUUUCAAAUAGCACCAGCUUUCAAAGAAAGGGGUACCUUUAAAGCAAAGAUGUCUGUCCGUCCUUGGCCACCUGAUACUUGGUCUCUAGGGGUUGGGAAUUGGGGGGUGGGAGAGGUGCAGCAUCAGCUCAGAGCUACCUGGGAACACGUUUCAUGAUUCCUUGCCUUACCGGGUAAGUCUACCUCUUCCUCAGAAGCUGGUGCGACCUUCACCAUCUCGUCCAUGAACUCGGCAUAUUCUCAGCUCUCUGGUCCCAAGCCAGUCUCACCACAUACACGGAGCUUAGGAAGUUUGUGCCAAUUCUCAUUUCAUUGUCUUGUUGGGGUCACUCACUUGGCAUCUGUGGGGCACCCUGUUCGUUCAAGCCCAGCUGACCAGCAGUACCCUCCCCUUCCACUCUGUCAGCAUUAUGGGCCUGUACCAAACUGGGAUCCCAUCCACACUGCCUUCUCCUUUACUAGCAGGUUUCUUGUAACUCUCUCCUUGUGGGAGCCACGAGCUAAUAAAUAGCUCUUCGUGGUGCUGUUUGGCCAAUAGCUCUGAGACCCGGGACUUCUCCUCAGCAGACUUGGUUUAUUCUGUCCCAUGGCCUUGGGCCAAGCUCCCUGACCUUUUCCUGCAACCACUGGGGCUGUGCCUCCCCUCCUGGGCUAGUAGGUUAACUUCUACCUUGUCUAUGAUGGCUGUAAUACUUCCUAUUGCCAGCUCUGCAGUGUUUCUUAUAUGGUCACCACAAUUUGGUGUAUCUAAACAUUACUCGUGGCCCUCUAUGUUGUACUUUGUCACUACGUCCCCUGAGAGGUCCUUCCACACCACCUCCUGGCUAUUAGUCACAUUUGUUUUAUUUUUGACUGGGUUUUCUAACCAGGGUGCGGUCCGGGCCUUCUGCAAGUACCUUUUGUUCCUGUAUUUAUGUGGUAUUUUGUGGAUUUGAGUGGUCCUCUAUUAUUCUUGUUUGCUUUGCUAAGUAAGGUCAUGCCCUUAAAUUGAAGGUAGUUUUAGUUGUUAUUGUCACUAUCUCAGUCUUUCCUUGGGUAGCAGAGGUGGCGUGGCGGACUUUGAGGAAUCAGUCUGUAGAACCUCUGUGGUGACAAAUGAGGGCAGGCUGCCAAAGGCAUAGACCCACACUCACUAGCAGAGUCUGCAACUAUGGAGUAUGUCCUGCUUUGACCCAUUUCCACUAAUAAAGAUGAGAAAGUGCCUUGCUAAUCUGUAGAUCGCCCAGACACCUGCGGUUGGCUGGCGCAGCACAAGCGGUUUGACCCUUGGGAAGCAAAUGGACCUGUAGUGGCUAUCCCAGCGGCUUGCCCACCCCACACCUAUCUCCUGUGCUGAGGGUGUGGGAGCCCAGUGCUUGAGAACUCUUGGAAACUCCUCCUGCUCUCCUGAGGACCAGGCCUUUCCCCUCUCAAAGCCUCUCCAGUGCUCUCCAAGUUCUCAGGAGCUUGGCAGUUCUCCCCACUCCCCACCCACACAGUGUUAUGCUCCCAUCACCCCACUCUCAUUAUCAGAGUUCCCCAGCCUCUGGCACCCACACUGCACCCUUGCCCUGGUCUGGGACCUGAUGAACUCCUGCAGGGCCCCAGCUCUAGCCACCCUGCCUGUCUAUAAUGCAGUGGGCAGAGACAGGGAAGAGGGCUGUGGGUUUUAGGCCCAUAACUGAGUCUUUGGUACCCGUGCCUCUGGACCAUGCCUCUAAGCAUGGAAGCAUCUAUGAACAACAGCUGCAUGUGGGAAGGCACAGGUAGAUGAGAGGAAGCCGUGGCAAGUAAGAGGCUGGAGACAAGAGACAGAGUCCUCCAGGGAGCCGGAGGAUGGGUGGCCAAGCCUAAGUUCAGCUAUCAGGACCCAGGCAGCUUUAAUAACUCCAGUGAUAGCUGUCAAACUGCCUGGAGAAAAUACGCAUUUUGAGUGGCAGCCAUUGGCUGCAAGCUGACUCUGCCUGGAGAACAAAUGGUUGAACUGCCCCAAACAGCUUCUAGAAUUUGCUUUAUUCCAGGGAAGGUUUUUUGUUUGUUUGUUUUCCCAACCUCCUGCUUUUUAGCCAGUAUCUUCUGUUCUAGUAGGUGAUGCCACAAAGGGCUUCACUUUGGAUUUUUUAGAAAGCUUGACCCUUACUUACCAUGUCUUCCCCAGAGUGCUCCCAGUCAGGUUUGGCCUUCCUUUAGGUUGGAGCUCUUGAGUAGUUCAGGUUCUUUUUAAGCCAUUUUUGGUGACUGGCUUUGUCUUUCCUGGUUCGCCCGAGCUGUUUCUGUUUUACAGAGCUAUGUUUGGGCCCAUUUGCCAUUUGUGUUCUGGGCCUUAAACCAUUUAGGUGUCUGGUGUGGGACAAAGAAGGCUUUGGGGUGGGGGGCUCGGCUCAGAGUAUUGUGGUUCUCCAAAUCUUCAUGUUGGAUCAUGGGCAAGCCACCAGUCACUCAAAGCUGGCCCAAUCUCACAGACUAAAAGUCUCAGACCACAUUCCCUUCAGCUCUCUCUGGGCUGAGCAUUAAGAAGCCAUGCUGGGCUGAGAUUUUUUUUUUUUUUUUUUUACAGCCCCUAAUGCAUGGUCCUACCCCAGGUACUUGGCUCUUCCAUACUAAAAGAAGCUAUCCCAGACUAACUAGUCAUGUAGGCUAACUCAGACUAAAUCACACGGGUGAAACUUGCCAGCACCCAUUUUCUUUUUUGGGGGGAUAUUUCUCACAGCCUUGGGCUCUGCAGCCCAUCAUCACCCUGUCCAUGAUAACGCUCUUAUUUGUAGCUGUCUUUUAAUGGUGUUCCUCUCAAGUUUUCAAGGGCAGCUUCUCCUUCCCUUUAAGGCCCAUCUGAUAUAUUAUACUGCCUCUUUGUGGUGGAGACCCUUUCUCCCGAUAAAGCUCAUUCCUGAAGGGUAAGUUUGUGGCCACCCCUUUCCCAAAGCAACACACUGCACCUCCUCAACUCAUUUGAAAUAGAUACACAAGAGUUACAAGGACAUUUCUGUUCAGUUAUGUAAACAUGAAAAAUAUUAAGAGUAUUCUCUUGGUGCCCCCCUAGGGAGAAUUCUAGCUGACCAGCCUUUGGCAAACUCAUGAGCCUUUCUAAAGCAGCAGGAGACAGAAACAAUUUUCCCUAAAGUUCCUACACAUAACCACUAAACCCAGGCCACUUGAUUUUUGAUUUUCAAUAAUUUUUCUUUGUCUCUGUACCAGAAUUCCCAUUCUUGGUGGCUUGUCUGUGUAUUAUCAUGUGUAUGUAUCAGUGUAGCUCUUUAAGAGACAUUGUUGAACUGUUAAUAAGCUGGA